rnacentral:rRNA from 1 species
AGGAUGAAGGGUUUGAUCCUGGCUCAGGGUGAACGCUGGCGGCGCGCCUAACACAUGCAAGUCGAACGGAGAAAGUCCUUCGGGACAAGUAUCAGUGGCGAACGGGUGAGUAACACGUGGGAACCAACCCCCCGGACACGGAUAACUACUGGAAACGGUAGGUAAGACGGGAUAAGCUCGGGAGAGGAAAAUCCAAGGGAUGCCGGGGGACGGGCCUGCGACCCAUCAGGUAGUUGGUAGGGUAAGAGCCUACCAAGCCAACGACGGGUAGCCGAUGUGAGAGCAUGAACGGCCACAAGGGCACUGAGAGACGGGCCCUACUCCUACGGGAGGCAGCAGUGGGGAAUUUUGGACAAUGGACGAAAGUCUGAUCCAGCGACGCCGCGUGAAGGAAGAAGUCCUUCGGGAUGUAAACUUCUAAGAUUAUCGAAUAAAGGCCAUGGGGGACCAUGGAGCUGAAGGUAGAUAAAGAAAAGCCCCGGCUAACUACGUGCCAGCAGCCGCGGUAAGACGUAGGGGGCGAGCGUUGCCCGGAAUUACUGGGCGUAAAGGGGACGUAGGCGGUUAAUCAAGUCAGGUGUGAAAUGUCACGGCUUAACUGUGGAAUAGCGCUUGAAACUGAAUAACUUGAGGACACUAGAGGAAGACGGAAUUACCUGAGUAGGGGUGAAAUCCGUAGAUACAGGUAAGAAGGCCAGUGGUGAAGACGGUUUUCUGGGGUGAUCCUGACGCUGAGGUCCGAAAGCUAGGGUAGCAAACCGGAUUAGAUACCCGGGUAGUCCUAGCCGUAAACGAUGCUCACUAGGUGUGGGUAAGAAAUAUCCGUGCUGAAGCGAACGCGAUAAGUGAGCCGCCUGGGGAGUACGUCCGCAAGGAUGAAACUCAAAGGAAUUGACGGGGACCCGCACAAGCGGUGGAGCAUGUGGUUUAAUUCGACGCUAACCGAAGAACCUUACCAGGGCUUGACAUGGAGAUAAAGAUAUAGAGAUAUAUUGGAUAUUACGCAAGUAAUAAAGUCUCA